GGGUGGAGAGCUCUGCUGUGUACCAGAGCACCCACCUCAGGAUUGUGGCACCCAGAGGUUGUUUUAGCAGAAGUCAUGUCUGCACCACUGACAGCUGAUCCAGCAGCCCAGUUGCAUCUGUCAGGAAUCAGAUCAUGAAGAAAUUUGUGGCCUGCUAGAGAGUUUGGGUGUUAUCGGCCAUGGAGGCCAGUGGAAGAUUUAAAGUAAGAGAGUACCUAAAAAUUGGUAGAAGCAUCAAUAUCACAGCAGAGUAGCAGAUAAGAUUGGAAGGAAGAAUUAACUGGAGGAACACAAACCAGAAAAGCAGCUAAGAUGCCUAAGGAAUCAUCAUUAGGAUCAGGGCCAGGAGGAAGGGGAAGUGUCUGCCUGCUGGUGUGCAUGGCAUGAAGGUCGUCUCUGCCAUCCAGAAAGCAGACUUUCUCCCACAGACACCAGAUACGGUGGGGACUCUUGGGGCUGCAGAGCAACUCCUCCCUCUAGCUGAGCAUCGAGCUGGAUGAAGAGAGGUGGAAGGAUGCAUUUGUCAGCUCUGGCUCCAGAAACACUUGCUGGCCAUCUCCAUCUGGAAACCCAAGUUUGCACUGCCCAGUCACUAUUUCAGCUUCUCCUCAGACCUGAGGUUGGAAGAAUGAUAUCUGUAGUGGGUUGAAUUGUGUGUCCAAAAGGAUAUAUCCAAGUCCUAAUCUCUGGUACCUGUGAGUAAGACUUUAUUUGAAAAUAAGGUCUUUGCAAAUAUAAUUAAGGUUAAGAGAGAUGAGAUCAUCCUAGAUUUAGUGGGAGUUCUAAACCCAAUGAUUGAUGUCUUUGAAAGAGAAAGCAGAGGGACAUUUGAGACACAGAGAUGCGGGGAGAAGGUGGCCACGAGAAGAUGGAGGCAGAGACUACAGUUACACAGGUGCAAGCCAAGGAACACCAGUGGUGGCCGGCACCCAUGAGAUGCUUGGAGAAUGGCAUGGAAUGAAUUCUCCCUCUGAGCCUCCAAAGAGAACCAACCCUGCUGAAUUUGGACUUCUUGCCUCCAGAACUGUGAAAGAAUAAGUUUCUGCUGUUUGAAACCCCCCGUUUGUGGUAAUUUAUUAUAGUAGCCCUAGGAAACUGAGAUAAUAUCCCAUUUAAUUGCUUUUAUGGCACUUGGGUACAGGAAACCUAGUGACCAUCUCAGAAGUAAUCACUACUCUCUGGUGGCUUGCCUCUUCUCCCCCGCCUAUUCCCCUCAGAUAGACACCUUCUCAACCAGCUGUUUUCCAUCUUUUCUUCAUUCUUUCUCUAGAGCAGAAGCUGUUCUUCCCAGCUUAGAUGCUGUUCUGAACUCAGGGUAACAGCCAAUUAAGCAGGUCUUUACUGAAGUCUGGCAGUACACCAGAUGCUAAAGGUGCCCAGUAGAUCCCAAGUGUGACAAGGACCAGAAAAAGCACACUUUUCUCGGGCAUUUAGUAAGAAAAGCCUUUCCUAUUUUAUGUUUUUUAUUUCUACUAUCCAGAGCAAUAUGACAUUCCAGGGCAAUCAUUCUUACAUUUCAGAAAACAUCAAAAAAUAGCUUAUCCUUAAAACAAGGUUGGAGAGCUCAUCCUAUUCUAAGGCUUGGCCUGAGCCUGUAGAUCAGAGAGGGUUCCAUGAUCUUAGGAAGUCACCCAGGACUUCUCAUUUCCACUUGAACACCUAACACUAUACCAAAGCAAGUAUUUCCCCAGAUUGCCCCAGUUCAUGAACUGACCCUGUAGUGUGAUGUUGAAGUUGCAAAUUUUGGUGAGCCCUGGAAUUAAAAUGUGUCUUCCUUUCUGGAAAUUUAAAAAACAUAAAUGAAAGGACUAGCCAUAUCCACAUAUGGUUCUGCCCUAGUCAUUUAACCUCUGUUUGGCCCAGUUUGCUUAUUUAUGCAUUAAGUGGAGAUUGUGAAAGGACAUCUUAUGAAUUAAUUAAUUAACAAUUGAAAGGGGCUUUAAAAGUGCUAUGCAAAUGAUAAGCAUUAUUGUAAGGCCCAUGGGAACCUGAGACAAAGCAAGGAGCCAAACUCCAAAUUGAGGAUUAUAACCAAGAAGCAAAUGUCAGCACUUUGGAAUGUGAAAGAAUGAUUAACAUUGGUUACGAUGAUGUCGGUUUUUUCUAAUCCAGAUAGAGAGGUGAGAAACUGUUAAAAUGUGGAUUCAGUUUGAAAACCCAUAUGAGCCCAGAUGCUCUGUAAGUGGUUACACUUCAGCAAACGCCUGCACAUUAAAACAGAAUCAAAAGAUCGAACCAAACUGGAACUGGAGAAGAAGCAGGUGCAUAAAACAAAUGCUGUCAGCAUAUGUGUGAGCACAAACAAUUCAUUGUGCCCACAUAAGUCAUAUGAUUGGCAUUUGCAGAUGUCUACAUAUAUUUAGUUCAAAUAUUACAAAAAUAAAACCUCUUGAACCCACCUAAUUUUAAUAUUACACUCGUUAGAGAGAUAAAACCUCUCUCAAACCAUUAGCCCAUGGAAGUUCUCCAGGCAAAUCAGCUUAGUUUUCUGUUUUCUAUUUCUCAGCAAACGGACUCUUGGCUUUACAGAGGCCUGAAGCAGCCAUUGGUCCUUAUAAUUAUAAACAAAAUGUGGUAAUUCAUCUCUUUAAAAAAAUUAUUCAAAUUAAGCUAUUGAGAUGUGGCUGUAUUGUCUUCUAAGAGAAUAAAAAGCUAUCUUAAUAAUAACAACAAUAAAAAUGAAGAAACAGUUUACAUUUUUUUCCAGUUUAAGCAACUUCUGGCUUCAGUAAUUAUAGAAGAAUAGUUUUGCAGAUUGAAAAAGCAGCUGUUAGUGUCCAGGCCUGACUUAACUUUUAUUUUCCUGCCUGAAUGGCACUUUAAAGUGUCCAGCAUCCUGUGGUCUUUAGCUUACCAGGCAAAAGCAGAGCUUUCUAGACUGGCAGCUUCUCAUUUCCAAAUCAUCAUGAUCUAUGGGUAAGCAACAGCAAUCAUAGAAUUCAGGACUAGGUAAUGAAGUUAGAGACCAGGAAAAAAAAAGACACUCCAGAAAAUCUGUCUUCCAAAAUAUUUCCUCUGGAAAUGAGAACAAAUGUGUGAUCUUUAUAUUUCUGUGCUGCCUUUGUUGCUGAUCAUUCUUGUCCAAUUGACUAACCAAUUAUGGCAAAGAAGCAUUCAAAGUUGUCUGGGCAAAUAAUAAUGGUCCUACCGUAAUACAAACUACUUGAGCUAACAUGGUCCUUGACAAAGCCAAGCUGCUUUUUCCACAUCUCUGCUAUUGAUUACAUGAUGAAAAUGUUAAAUGCUCAAAAAUUUGGCGAGCCCCAUUUAUAGACAAUCAUUUUGAAAAAGUAUUAUCCUAAUGACAGCCGACCUAGGUGGUCUUUGGGCACAGUGACUCAGCUGCAUUUAUUUGGCUUCCCAGGACCUUCCUGGGUACCAAAGUUUAGUUUGUAGGAUUCUGUUUCCUUGAUACACACACACACAAAAAAGUAAGUAUGGCAGGUCUGUCUAAAAUAAAACACCCUUUUAUAUUCUUUUCUAGUUCUUUUAAGUGCCUAAAAAGGCAAGAGAAGUGAGACUAUCUGAAUCUCCUGAAAGGUUAAAAUAAUUAAGGGAAGUUUCAACAGAAAGGAAAGAAGGUUUUUAAGCCUUGCACUAAAUGUAAAUUUUUUAUAUUCCAAAAGAAAAA